CAUAUGCUUGUCUCAAAGAUUAAGCCAUGCAUGUCUAAGUAUAAGCAAUUAUACUGCGAAACUGCGAAUGGCUCAUUAUAUAAGUUAUCGUUUACUUGAUAGCACAUUACUACUUGGAUAACCGUGGUAAUUCUAGAGCUAAUACAUGCUAAAAAUCCCGACUUCGGAAGGGAUGUAUUUAUUAGAUUAAAAACCAAUGCCCUUCGGGCUUGCUGGUGAUUCAUAAUAACUUCUCGAAUCGCAUGGCCUUGCGCCGGCGAUGGUUCAUUCAAAUCUCUUCCCUAUCAACUUUCGAUGCGAAGGUCUUGUCUUCGCAUGGUUACAACGGGUAACGGAGGGUUAGGGCUCGACCCCGGAGAAGGAGCCUGAGAAACGGCUACUACAUCCAAGGAAGGCAGCAGGCGCGCAAAUUACCCAAUCCCGACACGGGGAGGUAGUGACAAGUAAGUUACUCGUGACCGAUUUGCUUUUAAUUUUCUCUUUUUCGUAUGGACUCUUUGCUAAUGCUUACUUCUCUAGUAAAUACUGAUACAGGGCUCUUUUGGGUCUUGUAAUUGGAAUGAGUACAAUUUAAAUCUCUUAACGAGGAACAAUUGGAGGGCAAGUCUGGUGCCAGCAGCCGCGGUAAUUCCAGCUCCAAUAGCGUAUAUUAAAGUUGUUGUGGUUAAAAAGCUCGUAGUUGAACCUUGGGCCUGGCUGGCCGGUCCCCCUCACCGGGUGCACUGAUCCAGCCGGGUCUUUCCCUCUAUGGAACCCCAUGGCCUUUACUGGUCGUGGUGGGGAAAUAGGACUUUUACUUUGAAAAAAUUAGAGUGCUCCAGGCAGGCCUAUGCUCGAAUACAUUAGCAUGGAAUAAUGGAAUAGGACGUGUGGUUCUAUUUUGUUGGUUUCUAGGACCGCCGUAAUGAUUAAUAGGGACAGUCGGGGGCAUCAGUAUUCAAUUGUCAGAGGUGAAAUUCUUGGAUCUAUUGAAGACUAACUACUGCGAAAGCAUUUGCCAAGGAUGUUUUCAUUGAUAAGGAACGAAAGUUAGGGGAUCGAAGACGAUCAGAUACCGUCGUAGUCUUAACUAUAAACUAUGCCGACUAGGGAUCGGACGAUGUUGUUUAUUGACUCGUUCGGCACCUUCCGAGAAAUCAAAGUGCUUGGGCUCCAGGGGGAGUAUGGUCGCAAGGCUGAAACUUAAAGGAAUUGACGGAAGCUGAAAGGGUAGGUGGUUGUCCCGGCUGGUUGCCGAAACCUAAAAGGCUAGUCUCCCUAUUCAUGGGGGGCGACACCCUCAAAUUGCGGGGAACCCCUAAAGCUCCUGCUCCAAAGCCGGUAUGCGAAAGCUAUCGGUGGCCAGGUUAAUCGCCUCGGGUACUGGAACAGCGCAGGAGAUGCAACAAUGGGCAAUCCGCAGCCAAGCCCCUAAGUGAUUUUAUCAUAUGGGGAAGGUUCAGAGACUUGACGGGGGUGGGUAGGUAAAACGGUAUCAAAGAAGAGAAAGUCGUACGGCGCUACCUAAAUUCUAUACGUAAUCAUUACCUGCUUAAGAUAAAGUCCGGCCCUAUACGAAAAUAUAGUGGGAAAAUAGGGAACCUGCGGCUUAAUUUGACUCAACACGGGGAAACUCACCAGGUCCAGACACAGUGAGGAUUGACAGAUUGAGAGCUCUUUCUUGAUUCUGUGGGUGGUGGUGCAUGGCCGUUCUUAGUUGGUGGAGUGAUUUGUCUGCUUAAUUGCGAUAACGAACGAGACCUUAACCUGCUAAAUAGCCCGUAUUGCUCAGCAGUACGCUGGCUUCUUAGAGGGACUAUCGGCUCAAGCCGAUGCAAAGGAGUGGGCUGUGGCUAUUUCACUUGCUGCAGCUUAAGGUACGUGCUAAUCCCCCGGGUAACCGGGCUUCUACGUCGAGACCCGAUAAGUCGAAGCGUAGAGGGGGUGGAACCUCGGUUCCUAUCCGGUUGUCGUUACAGUUACUUUAGUGGGGCUUGUAAUGUUGCGGGUUCUCAUGGCCCCGCAGUAACUUGCCAAAUAUGCUAUGAGCCUUGCUAAAGACUGUAUCGCAAAAAUGCUGUGAUGCCCUUAGAUGUCCUGGGCCGCACGCGCGUUACACUGACAAAGCCAGCGAGUAUUUCCUUGGCCGAAAGGCCCGGGUAAUCUUGUUAAACUUUGUCGUGCUGGGGAUAGAGCAUUGCAAUUAUUGCUCUUCAACAGGAAUCCUAGUAAGCGCAAGUCAUCAGCUUGCGUUGAUUACGUCCCUGCCCUUUGUACACACCGCCCGUCGCUACUACCGAUUGAAUGGCUCAGUGAGAUUUCGGACUGACCCAGGGAGGUGGGAAACUACCACCCAGGGCCGGAAAGUUGCUCAAACUCGGUC
rnacentral:rRNA from 1 species